rnacentral:tmRNA from 1 species
GGGGAUGCUUGGUUUCGACAGGAUUUCGUUGGAUUUAGAUGGCAGUGGAUUGGUUACCUAAUAACCACAAAAAAAUAACUGGAAACAGAUUAAAUAACCAAUACGGUUUCGCUUACGCUGCUUAAUUAAAGCCUAAGACGUAAUGCCGCUUGAUUGAUUUGGUCUUUGGAUCAAUUAAAGCGAAUAAGAAACAAAGACUAAGCAUUAACAAUACUCUGGGUUGUUGAUGAUGAAAACUUUCACUGGAGACUUCACAGAAAACAUGUCAGUUUGUUGCCUGUGAAUACUGAUAACUGACUAAACUGUAGAUAUCUAAAUGUGGACACUUUUUGGACAGGGGUUCGAGUCCCCUCAUCUCCACCA